rnacentral:tRNA from 1 species
UCCCUGGAGGACUAUUGGUUAGGCCUCGACGCUCUUAACUUCGUGGCCCGGGUUCGAUUCCCGACCAGGGAU